UCUUGUGGCUUAAGUGGUUAAAGCAUCUGCCUUGGAUGUGGGAGGUCACAGGUUCAAACCCUGGCCAAAUCAU